rnacentral:rRNA from 1 species
CUAAUACAUGCAAGUCGAGCGAACGGACGAGAAGCUUGCUUCUCUGAUGUUAGCGGCGGACGGGUGAGUAACACGUGGAUAACCUACCUAUAAGACUGGGAUAACUUCGGGAAACCGGAGCUAAUACCGGAUAAUAUUUUGAACCGCAUGGUUCAAAAGUAAAAGACGGUCUUGCUGUCACUUAUAGAUGGAUCCGCGCUGCAUUAGCUAGUUGGUAAGGUAACGGCUUACCAAGGCAACGAUGCAUAGCCGACCUGAGAGGGUGAUCGGCCACACUGGAACUGAGACACGGUCCAGACUCCUACGGGAGGCAGCAGUAGGGAAUCUUCCGCAAUGGGCGAAAGCCUGACGGAGCAACGCCGCAUGAGUGAUGAAGGUCUUCGGAUCGUAAAACUCUGUUAUUAGGGAAGAACAUAUGUGUAAGUAACUGUGCACAUCUUGACGGUACCUAAUCAGAAAGCCACGGCUAACUACGUGCCAGCAGCCGCGGUAAUACGUAGGUGGCAAGCGUUAUCCGGAAUUAUUGGGCGUAAAGCGCGCGUAGGCGGUUUUUUAAGUCUGAUGUGAAAGCCCACGGCUCAACCGUGGAGGGUCAUUGGAAACUGGAAAACUUGAGUGCAGAAGAGGAAAGUGGAAUUCCAUGUGUAGCGGUGAAAUGCGCAGAGAUAUGGAGGAACACCAGUGGCGAAGGCGACUUUCUGGUCUGUAACUGACGCUGAUGUGCGAAAGCGUGGGGAUCAAACAGGA